UACAGAGGUGGCAAGCGUUGUUCGGAAUUACUGGGCGUAAAGGGCGCGUAGGCGGUUUCGUAAGUCCCGUGUGAAAGCCCCCGGCUCAACUGGGGAAUUGCACGGGAAACGGCGAGGCUUGAGUUCGGGAGAGGGAAGCGGAAUUCCGGGUGUAGCGGUGAAAUGCGUAGAUAUCCGGAGGAACACCGAUGGCGAAGGCGGCUUCCUGGACCGACACUGACGCUGAGGCGCGAAAGCUAGGGGAGCAAACGGG
rnacentral:rRNA from 1 species